rfam:Clostridium sp. 7_2_43FAA genomic scaffold supercont2.3, whole genome shotgun sequence.
AAAUUAAAUAGGCAAACUUAGAGAAAUUUAAGGACGCAAAGCUAUAGGGACUAAGGUGUAUAACUAUGUCAGCCAGUUGCCAAA